GUUCACAGGUGAAGUUUCCACCUCCAUCUCUGAUGUUGUCAGAAAGAAGACAGGCAGAGAUGACGAUGGAGACCCUGAAAUGUCCUCCACAAAGGGAACGGACCCCCUCGCUGACACAGAGACAGCAGGUUCAGACACAGACAAUGUGAGCCAAGGAGUACCGCUGACACAGAGCAAAAAAACACCUCCAAAAAACA